GAUGAACGCUGGCGGCGUGCCUAAUACAUGCAAGUCGAGCGAACAGAUAAGGAGCUUGCUCCUUUGACGUUAGCGGCGGACGGGUGAGUAACACGUGGGUAACCUACCUAUAAGACUGGGAUAACUUCGGGAAACCGGAGCUAAUACCGGAUAACAUUUGGAACCGCAUGGUUCUAAAGUGAAAGAUGGUUUUGCUAUCACUUAUAGAUGGACCCGCGCCGUAUUAGCUAGUUGGUAAGGUAACGGCUUACCAAGGCGACGAUACGUAGCCGACCUGAGAGGGUGAUCGGCCACACUGGAACUGAGACACGGUCCAGACUCCUACGGGAGGCAGCAGUAGGGAAUCUUCCGCAAUGGGCGAAAGCCUGACGGAGCAACGCCGCGUGAGUGAUGAAGGGUUUCGGCUCGUAAAACUCUGUUAUUAGGGAAGAACAAAUGUGUAAGUAACUGUGCACGUCUUGACGGUACCUAAUCAGAAAGCCACGGCUAACUACAUG
rnacentral:rRNA from 1 species